rnacentral:rRNA from 1 species
GCAGGCUGCAACUCGCCUGCAUGAAGCUGGAAUUGCUAGUAAUCGCGGAUCAGCAAGCCGCGGUGAAUACGUUCCCGGGCCUUGUACACACUGCCCGUCACACCAUGAGAGUCGGGAACACCCGAAGUCCGUAGUCUAACCGCAAGGGGGGCGCGGCCGAAGGUGGGUCCGGUAAUUGGGGUGAAGUCGUAACAAGGUACC